AAUAUAAUUUUCAAUGGUAGGAUACUACGUCAUCGCGCACCUGCUGAAUGCUCCCACUUGGACCAUUUUUUCGUCGAUUCGAAGAGAUCACUUCUUACGUCGUUGGGCGGGACCCGGUGCCAUGGCAAAGUUUCAACUGACAGGAUCACUUUACAAAAAGGUGCACUUGGCUUAUGUUGGAUCCGAAGGGAUGAUUCAAAAUUAUUGCCAACAACAAAGAUAGGACUAUAAGACUUUAAAUGAACAGUUUGGAUCUCAAGAAUAAAGUUUUUUUUUGAGAUGUUUAAACAAUGGUGGUGCUUUAUAAAGAAGUCAUUAUACAUUGUUUAGUACCAUACUGGAUUAAGAUUCUGUUGGACUCGUACACAUAUUAGAGGCCUGCAUUUAUUCAAUAAUUGCUGACUUUAAUAUCUUGUUAAUAAUUUAAAACCCAAUGAUUUGCGUGUUUGUUAAACUUGUGAUUUAGAUUUUAUAACAACAUAAUAGUACGUUUAUGAACAUAAAGAAGUCAAUAUAUAUCGGCUGAUUUGAAUAGUUUAUUAAAGAACAACAUGUGAAUCAUUUUUGUCAUGAACUGGUUAAAAAGUCAAUGUACUGCCAUACCAUGGCAUAUAAAGCAUGCAUCACAAUUAUUGACAACUUUGACAUUUUUAAGUAUGAAAGUUAUCAUAUGUACGUAUUUUUACCUAAAAUAACAAAAUUAAAUAAAUAAGAAAACAAAGAUCACAGUUAUUUCUUUAUCACAGUCUUUACCAUAUCUUGGUAAUUACAAUUGAAAUUUUAUAUAUAUGUAUAUAAUUAUGCUUCUAAAACAAUUUUCAAACAUUAAGGAAUAUGUGAAAUACUUACUGCAAAUGCUUGUCCACAUUAUAUGUAAUCAUUAAAAUAUACAUGUAUGCAUUCAUUUCUUAUUUAAGAAUUCAACUUACACUUAAAAGAAAAUAUAUUUCUUAAAUUACCUCCCUUUAUGAAAUAUUAAUUCGGUAUUAUCUUUACAAAUAAUGCUUUUUGGAACAUACAAUAUUGAUAAAUCUUCAUUUGAGCAUUAUAUUUAUUAUAUAAAACCAAAGUUGAUUUCAGGAUAUUUAAAUGACGUUAAAAUAAGAACAAUCAUACAAGGAGGAAUCACAGACAGUAAAAUCCCCCGCCGAAAAGGAGGAAAUACAUUUCAUAGGGGAAGUAACCCUUACAUACAUGUAAAAAUCCAAGUAAUGACACUCGUGAAAAUUAAUGAAAAGUUAUAGCGUAGAAAUAAUAAAUCAUAACAAAAAUAACACUCCCAUGAAAAAACAACAAAGAAAAAACAACAAAGAAGCAUUAAGUGAACACUUAUGGGCAUUACGCUCUGCUAGUUCACUUCUAUCUGCACUGUCCCAGUGUUGUUUUCUUAAAUUAAAAACAGCAUACGGAAGUUUUGUUCAAUAUAAAGUUUCAAGUUUAUAUCUCAAAUACCUUUAGAGGUAUGGUCCUUGCAAACUAAUCAUAGUGAAUACAAAGAGCAAUAACUCCAAAAACUGGAGAGUUGUCAUUCUUGUUUGUGGUAUAUCUAUCCUCCAGUGAAGUUUCAGAUAAAUUGAUCCUUUAUGACACAUUGCCCAAUGAUUAACGCAAAAACUGAACAAAAGACAAUUACUUCAAAGAGCUACAAAUCUUGUGUUUUCUAGAGUAUUCCUCCUCACUGAGAUAUAUCCACAGUUGGUAUCUAAAAUAUUUGCUCCAGCUAUGCCGUGUCAAGGUGUCCUGCCAUGUGCUUCCUUACGUCGCAAUGUGGUUUAUACCUUUUCUCAUACUGGUCACAAUCACAAAUACUUUCUGCAAAACAAAACGUUAUUAUAUUUUUAAAAUGUAUAAUCAAUUGUUUCUUAUUUCAGCGACUCUAUUUAACGAGGAAUUAUUUAAACACAACCUUUUUUUCCUUAUUCUUAGGCAGCUAGAAGACAUAUUUACGAGACUGUUAUGAUACAAUAUGUCACAAUUUACUGAUCUAAAUAUUAGUAUCGUAUUUUAAAAAUGCUGUUUCAUUGAAUUCUAACUGAUAAUAUGAAUAUAUGAACUUGAAUAUGAAGAUAUUUUGAAAAAAUAAUAAAUUCUUAACACAGCAAUGUGCUUUCAAAAUAUGUCUAUAUUUAGGUCCGAGUGGGAGCAUCUCUGAAGAUGAGUCCGAGUGGGAGCAUUUUCAAUUUUUAUAAAAAGAAUUAAGAAAAACUGAUUUCUGAAUGGAAAUAUCUGAAACUAAUCUAGAAAAAUGGAUAAACAUGACUCGGUUUAUGUUCCGGUACGUUAAAAAUAAUUUUCAAGAAGGUUUUCAACCUUAUUUCAUAUAUGUUUCGGGAAAAGUCCGAGUGGGAGCAUUCAGAGAAAAACACUUAUCCCGUUUUCAGGCUUAAACCAGGCAAUAAAUCUAUAAA